rnacentral:rRNA from 1 species
GACAGAGGCCUCAAGCGUUAGGCGGAAUCACUGGGCUUAAAGCGUGUGUAGGCGGAUCGUUAAGUGCCUUGUGAAAUCCCACGGCUUAACUGUGGAACGGCUGGGCAUACUGGCGGUCUUGAGCCAUCUAGGGGCGACUGGAACAAACGGUGGAGCGGUGAAAUGCGUAGAUAUCGGUUGGAACGCCAAUGGUGAAAACAGGUCGCUGGGGAGGAGCUGACGCUGAGACACGAAAGCCAGGGGAGCAAACGGG